UUGUUGGACUCUUCCUUUCUCCCUUUUUUCUUUAGAGAAACAUGAUGAGGAUUCCACCACCAAGGCUUGAACUUUGGACCUCUCCCAAAAGGAGAGGGAUGCCAACUAUCUAAGUUUAAGCCUAGUUAAUACGUGAGCUAUUUAGAGUUGGCAUGUAUUUCUUUUGAGUACAUUUACUUGGACAUCUCAAUGUGAUAAUCGGCUAAUCAAUUAGGGGAAAAUAUAUGUUUCUUUGGAGGGUG
rnacentral:lncRNA from 1 species